UAAUGAUGGUUGCCCUGCUUCAAUCCUUACC
rnacentral:piRNA from 1 species